UCCAACGCGCUUGAAUGUAAAACCAGAUAAAAGUUUCGCCUUUGUUCGUGUUCAACUCCAGACAGUUUCGGUUGGUAAUAAGCCUUAAGUUGAUGCAGUGUGGAAUUCCAUCGCCAAAGUAACUUAUUCAGUGAACGGAAUCAUGAGAAUAAAUACACACAUAUAUAAAGAAUCUGAACAAUACCGUACAGCCUAACUCGGUGGAUUCAGAAAUUCGAAAUUAGACAAGCAUAUAUUUUUUAAGUUCUCUAGGGUUUUUUUAGGGAUAUUUCGAUGAAUUUAUUGAAUUCCAUCCUUAAUGGGAUGAAAGUAGGGGUUAAAGUAAUUGAUGUAACUGGUGGACCCUCGAAAUUUAAAAUUUGGAAGAAAUAUUGGAGUUGUAGGUAAGAAGGGAUUUUUGAAAUUCCAUCCCUCUAUGGAUGGAAAAAGGUGUUAAACGAUUUGAUUGAUAGACAACGCACCGCCUAAAUUGGUGGACCUAGAAAUUUGAAAUUUGGAAGAAGUAUUGCUUGAAUCUCCUGGAGAUGUAGUAGGUAAGAAGGGAUUUUUGAAAUUCCAUCCUUCCAUGGAUGGAAAAAGGUGUUAAACGAUUUGAUUGAUAGACAACGCACCGCCUAAAUUGGUGGACCUAGAAAUUUGAAUUUUGGAAGAAGUAUUCCUUGAAUCUCCUGGAGAUGUAGUAGGUAAGAAGGGAUUUUUGAAAUUCCAUCCUUCCAUGGAUGGAAAAAGGUGUUAAACGAUUUGAUUGACAGCAACGCACAGCCUAAAUUGGUGGACCUAGAAAUUUGAAUUUUGGAAGAAGUAUUCCUUGAAUCUCCUGGAGAUGUAGUAGGUAAGAAGGGAUUUUUGAAAUUCCAUCCUUCCAUGAAUGGAAAAAGGUGUUAAUAGAUUUGAUUGACAGACAAUACACAGCCUAAAUUAGUGGACCUAGAAAUUUGAAAUUUGGAAGAGUAUCCUACUACAUCGGUAAAAAGGGAUUUUUGAAAUUCUAUCCUUCCAUGGAUGGAAAAAGGUGUGAAAUAUGAAAUUUGGAACAAGUAUUCCUUGAGUAUCCUGAGGAUGUAAUAGACAGCGCACCGCCUAAACUAGUGGACCUAGAAAUUUGAAAUUUGGAAGAAGUAUUCCUUGAGUGUCCUGGAGAUGUAAUAGGUGAGACGGGAUUUUUCAAAUUCCAUCCCUCUAUGGAUGGAAAAAGGUGUUAAUAGAUUUGAUUGACAGACAACGCACAGCCUAAAUUGGUGGACCUAGAAAUUUGAAAUUUGGAGAAAACAUUCCUUGAUUAUUCUAGGGAUAUUGUGGUAGGAAGGGAACUUGUAGGCAGCAGGUGCGUCUUAUAUCCAAGCAUAAUAACAAUUUAGGAAUGUUCUGCAUAAACUGCGUAAGAGUUUUUACUGGUACAAAAUUUAAAUGUUUGCCAAAUCAUAUCUGGAAAGUUCUACCUGUUUGCCCUGUUUAAAUUUUUGUAGUAGAUACACUUUAAUAAAUAAACCACUGCAUU